AACCCUUAUUGCUAGUUACCAUCAUUAAUUGGGGACUCUAGCGAGACUGCCAGUGAUAAACUGGAGGAAGGUGGGGAUGACGUCAAAUCAUCAUGCCCCUUAUGACCUGGGCUACAAACGUGAUACAAUGGCUGAAACAAAGGGCAGCGAAGCAGUGAUGUGGAGCGAAACCCAAAAAAGCAGUCUCAGUUCGGAUUGAAGUCUGCAACUCGACUUCAUGAAGUCGGAAUCGCUAGUAAUCGCGGAUCAGAACGCCGCGGUGAAUAUGUCCCUGCUCCUU
rnacentral:rRNA from 1 species